UCCCUGGUGGCUCAGACGGUAAAGCGCCUGCCUGCAAUGCGGGAGAUCCAGGUUCUAUCCCUGGGUUGAGAA
rnacentral:tRNA from 1 species